rnacentral:rRNA from 1 species
AGGGCGUUGGGUGAAUGCCUUGGCACUAUAUGGCGAAGAAGGACGUGACUACCUGCGAAAAGCUGCGACGAGCUGGAAGUGAGCAAAGACUCGCAGAUAUCCGAAUGGGGGAACCCACUGCAAGUAACGAUGCAGUAUCCACUGAUGAAACAAAUAGUCAGUGAGAAGGCAACCUAGGGAAGUGAAACAUCUAAGUACCUAGAGGAAAAGAAAGAGAAAUCGAUUCUCCAAGUAGCGGCGAGCGAACGGGGAGGAGCCCAAACCGUAGAAAUACGGGGUUUAGGACCUCAAGAAGUGAAUGCGUUGCUGUAGACGAAUCAUUUGAAAGAUGAACCAAAGAUGGUGAAAGUCCAGUAGUCGAAACGGCAGAAUGCAGCGAGAGGGAUCCAGAGUACGGCGAGACACGAGGAAUCUAGUCGGAAGAUACGCAGACCACUGCGAAAGGCUAAAUACAAGAUAGUGACCGAUAGUGAACCAGUACCGUGAGGGAAAGGUGAAAAGAACCCCGGGAGGGGAGUGAAAAGAAUCUGAAACCUGAUGCCUACAAGAAGUCAGAGGGCGUUAAAGCCUGAUGGCGUGCCUAUUGAAGAAGGAACCGGCGAGUUAUGCUAUCGUGCGAGGUUAAGUAGGAGAUACGGAGCCGAAGCGAAAGCGAGUCUUAAUAGGGCGGAAAGUACGAUAGGAUAGACCCGAAACCAGACGAUCUAGCCAUGAUCAGGUUGAAGCGAUGGUAACACAUCGUGGAGGACCGAACCAACUUUCGUUGAAACGACAGUGGAUGAAUUGUGGCUAGGGGUGAAAUUCCAAUCGAGUUUGGAAAUAGCUGGUUCUCCCCGAAAUAGCUUUAGGGCUAGCCUUGUGGGAUGACCUAUGGAGGUAGAGCACUGAAUGACUGAGGGCCCCAUCCAGGGGUACCGAUUUCAAUCAAACUCCGAAUGCCAUAGGGGGAGGAACACAGGAGUCAGACUGUGGGGGAUAAGCUCCAUGGUCAAGAGGGAAACAGCCCAGACCAACAGAUAAGGUCCCAAAAUACAUGCUAAGUGUAAAAGGGAGUGAUAUUGCGCAGACAACUAGGAGGUUAGCUCAGAAGCAGCUAUCCUUAAAAGAGUGCGUAACAGCUCACUAGUCGAGUGACAUUGCACCGAAGAUUUACCGGGGCUAAGCAUGAUACCGAAGCAUUGGACUCUGAGGAGUGGUAGGGGAGCGUUGUAGGAGCGGCGAAGUCAUACCGAAAGGAAUGGUGGAGCGACUACAAGAGAGAAUGCCGGUGUGAGUAACGAAUAGAGGUGAGAAUCCUCUACACCGAUUGACAAAGGAUUCCUGGGGAAAGGUUCGUCCGCCCAGGGUAAGUCGGGGCCUAAGGCGAGGCCGAGAGGCGUAGUCGAUGGAAAACUGGUUGAAAUUCAGUACCGAUUAUAGGGAGAGGGAGAGACGGAGAUGGUAAGUUGUGCCGGUUAAUGGAUUCCGGUCGAAACGGAGCAGCUGGUAGGGAAGGCAAAUCCACCUACGGGAAGCAGGCCGUGAUAGGGAGCGAAAGGGAAACCAAGUAGUGCAGACAACGUAGACAGCUUCCAAGAAAAUCUUCUAUCAAAAACUUAUAAUUGCCCGUACCGAGAACGAACACACGUGGUCAAGGAGAGAAUCCUAAGGUGAGCGAGACAACUGUUGCUAAGGAACUCUGCAAAAUCACCCCGUAAGUUAGCAAGAAGGGGAGCUCGAGAGAGCCGCAGUGAAAAGGCCUAGGCGACUGUUUAACUAAAACACAGCUCUAUGCUAAGCCGAAAGGCGAUGUAUAUGGGGUGACGCCUGCCCAGUGCUGGAAGGUUAAGGGGAAAUGUUAGUGAGCGAUUGCGAAGCAUAGAACCGAAGCCCCAGUGAACGGCGGCCGUAACUAUAACGGUCCUAAGGUAGCGAAAUUCCUCGUCAGGUAAAUUCUGACGCGCACGAAUGGCGUAACGAUCUAGGCGCUGUCUCAGCAACAGGCUCGGUGAAAUCUAACUACCUGUGAAGAUGCAGGUUACCCGCGACUAGACGGAAAGACCCCAUGGAGCUUUACUAUAACUUGAUAUUGGGAUGUUGCUAUUGAUGUACAGGAUAGGUGGGAGACGAAGAAGUGAAGGCGUCAGCCUUGAUGGAGUCAACGUUGGGAUACCACUCUUCAAUAGUGACGUUUCUAACCCAGGCCGUGAAACCGGUCACAGGGACAGUGUCAGGCGGGUAGUUUGACUGGGGCGGUCGCCUCCUAAAGAGUAACGGAGGCGCCCAAAGGUACCCUCAGUAUGGAUGGAAAUCAUACAAUGAGUGCAAAGGCAAAAGGGUGCUUGACUGUGAGACAAACA